rnacentral:rRNA from 2 species
UGGGGAAUAUUGGGCAAUGGGCGAAAGCCUGACCCAGCAACGCCGCGUGAAGGAAGAAGGUCUUCGGAUCGUAAACUUCUAUCCCCGGUGAAGAUAAUGACGGUAACCGGGAAGGAAGCCCCGGCUAACUACGUGCCAGCAGCCGCGGUAAUACGUAGGGGGCAAGCGUUGUCCGGAAUGAUUGGGCGUAAAGGGCGCGUAGGCGGCUCGGUAAGUCUGGAGUGAAAUUCCUGCUUUCAAGGUGGGAACUGCUUUGGAUACUGUCGGGCUUGAGUGCAGGAGAGGUAAGUGGAAUUCGCGGGGUAGCGGUGAAAUGCGUAGAGAUCGGGAGGAACACGAGCGGCGAAGGCGGUCUGCUGGGCUUUAACUGACGCUGAGGCUCGAAAGCAUGGGUAGCAAACAGG